CCUAACAAAACCUCUAUCAAAAUUAUUAAAAUCCCUAGCAUUCGAAAAACCAGCCCCAAACAUUGAAGACGACAACCAACCUUCCCACGGAAUCGAAGCAGUCUUCAAAUGCCGCUCAUGUCCAUCAAAAAAAUUAGAUCGGUUAGCAAAAUUGCUAGGCAAACGUUGGCCAAAAAAUCGAACCAGACUUGGUUCACUCGGACCACCGUAGUCAUGGUUGAAGCGAUAGAAACAUCUCUAUGCAAUAUGACCAAAACGACUACAUAUCUGGCACUGCAUCUGAGGACGAAAACCACCACGUCCACGCGAGCCAGACGAAAAGCAACCACCAUGCUCAGAGCGACGAUCUGAUUCAGUCACUGCUAUAGCCGGAGAUGCUUCAGCCACGUUCACAAGCAUAGACACUUCUGUCACCACUUGUGUCUGACGACUUUCUAACUCCAUCAACGCAUCAACCAACUUUGGAAAUGGAAAGGUCUCUGACGAAAAUGAUGCGAGAGUUAACAUGGCAUCCAACUCCGAAGAAAACUCAGAUAGAAUUACUUCUACUUUUUCGACCUCCGAAACGACAGAACCAGACUUCUCAAGUAGAGCACAAAUAUUCUGAAUCUUGGCCACAUAUUCGGUAAUAUUCAACGUACCUUCUUGAGGAUAUGCAACUCAUAUUUGACUCGAGAAAUUUUAGCACCGGUGGAGGCAAUAAACAGUGGAUUAGUAAUACUCCAGAUAUCACACACAGUUUUAGUGGCUGUAAAAGAAUGCAAUAAUAGUAGGUAGCAACCAAGAGGCUAAGAGCUUAUCUUGUUGAAGAAAGACGAAUGCCUCUAGAUUUGGAGUCAGAACACCAUCCGAAGACCCAACGAACCUAGGCAGAGCAAGUAGUGUACCAUCUAAAAAUCCUUGCAGCUCAUAUCCUUUUGUGAUUAAUCGGAUAUAUUGCUACCAAAGCACAAAACUCUUUUCAUCUAAUUUUACUAUGUCGUGACGAGGGAAAGCUUGAAUCAACCGUGAGCUGGAAAAUGAUAGGGUAGAAGGACCAACAGAUAUGGAAUCUUGUAAAUUAGCCAUAGAGCAGCAGCGGAUGAAGACCCCAGGAGGUUAGGCAACUGAUACCAUAUUAGAUGCCAUACACAAAUGAAUAUGUUGAUAGGAAAAUAUUAGGAAAACAAUAGAGUAAUUUUCUAUUCAAUCUUUUCUACUUUGAGUGAAUACACUGAUGAAUUUUAUACCCAUGUGAAUGUAACUUCUCCUAACCAACUAAUUAACAAAUUUUAACAACAGACUAACAGCCUCAAUCAAUCUUUAAACUAACGUUUAACACUCAUGAUAGCAUGCCUUCCGGCCUCAAGGAUAAGCUAUGCUCGAACAACUGUCCCUAUUUCCGAUGACCAGCGACAAUGGUGGUGGUGAGAGGUGAGAGUUUGACUAGUGAACAAAGCGGGUGAAGUUGGAAAGUUAGGAUCAUCUGUGAGUUUGAAUGCAGCAAGGAAAGCUCCCACGUGUAAACAAGGAUGGAAUUAGGUCAAACAAUUGGGGUCAAAUGUAAAUUAAGGCCUCAAUUUGUCAUUAUUUUAUUGGCUC
rnacentral:lncRNA from 1 species